CUGUAGCUGAGAGCAGCCGGCUACAUGGGGUUCAGCUCUUGUUUCCAUAAUAUAUAAUCUGGAAUUGCACUACAGCUAUUUAAGCCCCAUUCAGCUCUUAUGCAACCACCUAGCUCCCCCACCCCAAGCCUUUAAGUUAAAUAUGCAUUUGACUGUGGAUGAUGGGGAGACUAAAUUUCAAAAUAUUGAAAGCUUUUCUUCAGCUAUUUCUUCACAACAUCUUUCCAGUUCUUCUGCCUUCCUGCCAUCUCCUAAAUAAUUAAAGCCCUGUUCUUUACCGUAUGAUACACAGAUGACAGAACCAUUGCCUCAAUAUCCAGCUCAUGUCUUUCUUCAUCCGGUUUCCUGAAGAAAAAGUAGAAGAACUGCUGCAUAACCAUCUCCACCCUCUCUCAGCAGGUGGCAUGGUCCUGAUCCUAAUGAUGCUAGAUUUAGUAAAAAAUUCCCCUCCCACUCUUCCAUAUUGGGAAUUAAGGAGCAGUUAAUUUUGUAGCUUAAACAGCUAAAGGAGAGGACACUCGUAUUAAACACAAAUUUGAUAUCUUCUUCCCUGAGGACACUAAGAAUCUCUAGACUGCCUAGUUGUGGUCCUAUGGUUUUAUGUUUGCUUCUUAUAAAAAUUAUUGCAGGUGAAUUUUCUGUGCUGGGAACACCAUAUGCUGCUCGAGAUAUAAUCAAGUUCUAAGGCACAUGACACAUGGAGAUUUUAUAAUUCAAGAGACAUGCAUCACUAGCAUCUUUAUCGGUCAUUUGCUUAAUUUCCAGAAAUCAAGAACUAGCAUAAGUGGUGGUGUCAAUAUCGGAAGAGCACGGAUUGAUAAUCUGAUACCCCUUUUAUCAUCUACUCCACCAUGAUCUGAAGAUUUCCCCUUGUAUAACUUGCAGGUUUCCCUGCAAUGCAGAUCCGAUCUAGAGCUGUAGUAAAUUAAAGAUGCGGCCGGGUCUACAACACUUCGCUGUUUGAUCUCUAUAAUCUCCAUGAGUAUUUGACAUUUUUUAGUUGUUGUUGUUGAUGUUGAUCAUCAUGAUCAAGUUGCAAGCUUCUUCAUUUGAAACCAGGGUUUGGCUAUUUGUCAAGAAUAAUAGACUCCAAUAUUCAUGUAUUCAUGCUCUAUGCAUACGCAAUUCAUAGAAUGAUAGUACUGAGCUGAUGAUCAAUAAUCAAGAAAAUGUUCAUCGA